UGGGGAAUAUUGCACAAUGGGCGCAAGCCUGAUGCAGCCAUGCCGCGUGUGUGAAGAAGGCCUUCGGGUUGUAAAGCACUUUCAGCGAGGAGGAAGGGUAGUGUGUUAAUAGCACAUUGCAUUGACGUUACUCGCAGAAGAAGCACCGGCUAACUCCGUGCCAGCAGCCGCGGUAAUACGGAGGGUGCAAGCGUUAAUGGGAAUUACUGGGCGUAAAGCGCACGCAGGCGGUUUGUUAAGUCAGAUGUGAAAUCCCCGCGCUUAACGUGGGAACUGCAUUUGAAACUGGCAAGCUAGAGUCUUGUAGAGGGGGGUAGAAUUCCAGGUGUAGCGGUGAAAUGCGUAGAGAUCUGGAGGAAUACCGGUGGCGAAGGCGGCCCCCUGGACAAAGACUGACGCUCAGGUGCGAAAGCGUGGGGAGCAAACA
rnacentral:rRNA from 1 species